UACGUAGGCAGCGAGCGUUGUUCGGAGUUACUGGGCGUAAAGAGUGCGUAGGCGGUGCGGUAAGUCUGGUGUGAAAUCUCCCGGCUCAACUGGGAGGGUGCGCUAGAAACUGCCGUGCUUGAGUGUGGGAGAGGUAAGCGGAAUUCCUGGUGUAGCGGUGAAAUGCGUAGAUAUCAGGAGGAACACCUGCGGUGUAGACAGCUUACUGGACCAUAACUGACGCUGAGGCACGAAAGCGUGGGUAGCAAACAGG
rnacentral:rRNA from 1 species